rnacentral:rRNA from 1 species
AGCUCCAAUAGCGUAUAUUAAAGUUGUUGCAGUUAAAAAGCUCGUAGUUGAACUUCUGCGUACCUUCAGUUCUGGCUUCGGUCAAGCUGUUGCGUCCGCAUCCGCUUGCAAACCAGGACCGGCCUUCACUGGUCGACCUGGGGAGUAAGCCCUUUACUUUGAAAAAAUUAGAGUGUUUCAGGCAGGCAAUGGCUCGAAUACAUUAGCAUGGAAUAAUGGAAUAGGACUUUUGUCCAUUUGAUUGGUUAUUGGACAUGAGUAAUGAUUAACAGGGACAGUUGGGGGCAUUAGUAUUUAAUUGUCAGAGGUGAAAUUCUUGGAUUUAUUAAAGACUAACUUAUGCGAAAGCAUUUGCCAAGGAUGUUUUCAUUA